CAGCCGCCGCGGGAAAACGGAGGGUGCAAGCGUUAAUCGGAAUUACUGGGCGUAAAGCGUGCGUAGGCGGUUCGUUAAGUCUGUUGUGAAAGCCCCGGGCUCAACCUGGGAAUGGCAAUGGAUACUGGCGAGCUAGAGUGUGUCAGAGGAUGGUGGAAUUCCCGGUGUAGCGGUGAAAUGCGUAGAGAUCGGGAGGAACAUCAGUGGCGAAGGCGGCCAUCUGGGACAACACUGACGCUGAGGCACGAAAGCGUGGGGAGCAAACAGGAUUAGAUACCCCCGUAGUCCCUGUCUCUUAUAC
rnacentral:rRNA from 1 species